UGAGGAAUAUUGGUCAAUGGGCGAGAGCCUGAACCAGCCAAGUAGCGUGAAGGAUGACUGCCCUAUGGGUUGUAAACUUCUUUUAUAAAGGAAUAAAGUCGGGUAUGGAUACCCGUUUGCAUGUACUUUAUGAAUAAGGAUCGGCUAACUCCGUGCCAGCAGCCGCGGUAAUACGGAGGAUCCGAGCGUUAUCCGGAUUUAUUGGGUUUAAAGGGAGCGUAGAUGGAUGUUUAAGUCAGUUGUGAAAGUUUGCGGCUCAACCGUAAAAUUGCAGUUGAUACUGGAUAUCUUGAGUGCAGUUGAGGCAGGCGGAAUUCGUGGUGUAGCGGUGAAAUGCUUAGAUAUCACGAAGAACUCCGAUUGCGAAGGCAGCCUGCUAAGCUGCAACUGACAUUGA
rnacentral:rRNA from 1 species